GCGAGCGCUGGCGGCAGGCCUAACACAUGCAAGUCGAGCGGCCCUUCGGGGCAGCGGCGGACGGGUGAGUAACGCGUGGGAACGUGCCCUUUGGUACGGAACAACUGAGGGAAACUUCAGCUAAUACCGUAUGUGCCCUACGGGGGAAAGAUUUAUCGCCAUUGGAGCGGCCCGCGUUAGAUUAGCUAGUUGGUAGGGUAAUGGCCUACCAAGGCGACGAUCUAUAGCUGGUCUGAGAGGAUGAUCAGCCACACUGGGACUGAGACACGGCCCAGACUCCUACGGGAGGCAGCAGUGGGGAAUCUUGCGCAAUGGGCGAAAGCCUGACGCAGCCAUGCCGCGUGAAUGAUGAAGGUCUUAGGAUUGUAAAAUUCUUUCACCGGGGACGAUAAUGACGGUACCCGGAGAAGAAGCCCCGGCUAACUUCGUGCCAGCAGCCGCCGUAAGAC
rnacentral:rRNA from 1 species